UUGAGAGUUUGAUCCUGGCUCAGAACGAACGCUGGCGGCGCGCUUAACACAUGCAAGUCGAACGGGUCGGUGCGGAGCACCGGGCGGACUAUGUCUUAUAAGCCUUAUAGGACUUAUUCCUUCCGAUGCUUCGCAUCGGUUAGUGGCGAACGGGUGAGUAAUACAUAGGUAACCUGCCUUUAGGAUGGGGAUACUCCCGAGAAAUCGGGCACAAUACCGAAUAUGAUUCCGGGGUGAAAGUCCCUGGGAUAAAAGUCCCGAGCAAUCGGGACGCCUGAAGAGGGGCCUGUGGCCUAUCAGCUUGUUGGUGAGGUAACGGCUCACCAAGGCUAAGACGGGUAGCCGGACUGAGAGGUCGAUCGGCCACACUGGAACUGAGACACGGUCCAGACUCCUACGGGAGGCAGCAGUGGGGAA
rnacentral:rRNA from 1 species